AGACUGGAACCAGCAGUGCAAGAAAAGGACCGGCACACCUUACUCUGCCCUUGGGAAGAACCAAGGUCGUGGACAGCUGAAGGCUAUUCAUGAUGUGGAGGUUGGGAAGGAAGCCAUCAAGAAAGUUCUCUUCAAGAAAUUCAAGAAAAACAGCCAGACACAGCCUUCAGAUGGGGAUCCUUCAUAGUGUUAAUAUCAUUUGUACAUGUAUCUUAAACAAAAUGUUUUCUAUGGAAUAACCAAGUGUUAUAUUGAAUCUGUAAGUAUUAUUAGUCUAAAAAUGCUUUCACCGGGUAUUUGCUAAUGACGCUAAAUGGAGUAAAUGUAUAAUGUACAUGUACUUGAAGCAUACGCUGCUACAUGUAGGUAUAGUGACAACUUGGCAUGAAUUCAAUUAUUGAAAGUAAAAAAAAACGUUUAUCUUUUUGAGACAAUAAAAUAUGAAUAAGUGAUAAUAGAAUGCAUAUGAAAUAAAAAUGAUGAAAGGAUCUUUUGUCUAAAAAGUAAAAUAUGUUUAUUUAAUAAGACAUGCACUAUAUGUAAUAUCUAUGGCAAAUAUAAACAUCUUGGAAC